GAAUUCCCCAGAGAGCAAUGAGCCGAGACCCAGGUAGUUGUCUGUUUUUCAUCCACAUGGUUCACAGAUGACAUAUCCCCACGUUGAGCCCUGCAACAGAGCUCGAGGCGGAUAGUCCCAUCCACACAGGAGUCACACUCAGGCCAACUGAAGCGUGAUUCUGGAUUCCACGUUUCUUUGCCCUCUGUAAAGGUGCCUGUUGCUCAAGUUUCUGCCCCCCGAAAGCGUGACCAUGUUGACUGUUUCGCGAGCUCUGUGGGGCCCCAGAAACUUCCAGGAAUGCGUGGAAGACCAGCAUCGUGUCGGUGCUCUCCUUUCCAGUUUUCAAACAGGCUAUAUUGGAGACUCCCCAUUUUGCAGGAAACAGGAAUCCAUCAUCAGGCCGUGAUGCAUCCCCUGCCAGGGCUCUGGACUCUCCAGGCGGCCACCCUCUCGCUGGGACUCCAGGCCUUCCCCAGGCUCUUGAGCUCCCGAGCUUCCAACACCUGGGGCCCGCUUAGGACGGGGUGUGCUCCGAGGCGUCAGGGCCCAGGGCCCACGGUCCUGGGGUCCCCUCCGGUCCUCCGCCUUGCCGCGGAAAAAUUAUUUUGGAUUCCUCACCGCCCCUCCUGCAAGGCCCCCUCUUGCCCCACACACCCAGAGCCGCCAGGGCUGCCCAGGGGCGAACAGCCGGCCCAGCCCCACAGGCCCUUUUUCUCACAAUGCUCACACCAUCGUCGCUUGUUCUGAGGAGGACCCGCCAUGGCCAAAGGGGCAAGAAGGCUCUGCUUUGCCCCGCCCUGGCACUAGAGCCCCGGCAGCCUCAUCCCGGGAAAGAGGGGCUGACGGACACCCAGACACACCCCACCACUACCACGAGCAAACCCACCCUGACACACCCACGGAUACACACGGGUGCAUGCGCGCAGACACACACACACACCACACCCGGGCACACACACACGGACACACAAAGACACAGACACAGAUAGCUCAAAGGGAGACCUCCCCUCAUAUUGUCUUAUGCCCAAUUUCUGCCUCCAAAGAAAGAAGAAGUAAAAUCUAAAAGGCAGAAAUGAAAUCCACAGGCAGACAGCCCCGCGCCACACCCUGGGCCUGGUAGUUAAAGAUCGAUCCCUGACCUACUCGGUUAUGUUAUCUAUAGAUUACAGACAUUGUAUAGAAAAGCACUGUGAAAAUCCCUGUCCUGUUUUGUUCUGAUCUAAUUACCUGUGCAUGCAGCCCCCAGUCACGUACCCUCUGCUUCCUCAAUCCAUCAAGACCCUCUCACGCGGACCCCCUUAGAGUUGUAAGCCCUUAAGAGGGACAGGAAUUGCUCACUCGGAGAGCUUGGUUUUUGGAGACGUGAGUCUGCGGAUGCUCCCAGCUGAAUAAAGCCCUUCCUUCUACAACUCGGUGUCUGAGGGGUUCUGUCUGCAGCUCCUCCUGCUGCAGAAGGAGAGCAAGGGAGAGAGGGAUGGAGAAAUAGAACCAGAGGGAGAGAGAGAGACAGCGAUAGAGAGAGAGAGAGAGAGACAGAAAAGGGGGGAGGAGAGAGAGAGGGGGGAAGAGAGAGCACCACAGUAGAGCGCGAGGUGGAGGGGGAAGUAGAGAAAGGGAGAGGGUGAGGGAGUUGUGGAGCGACAGCGACAGAGCCUUGGAGAGGGAGGCUCUGCUCAGGAUUUGUCCCCAGUGCCUUAUUUAGUUCACUUGGUGAGGUCAUGUUUUCCUGGAUGGUGUUGAUGCUAGUAGAUGUUCUUCAGUGUCUGGACAUUAAAAUCUUGGGCAUGCAGCACCAUAUGAGAAGUUUAAAAAAUAAAAUUUAAAGAGAGAAAAGUGGUGGGAUUGCUGAAUCAGACAGAGCCAAUAGAUGAUCAGUAAUGGUGGCCAAUCAUCAGCUAGAAAGAAAGUGCUUAGCAGGGCUUGAAAACACCAAAACUCUGAGACCACUGACCUUCAAAAACUUCAACAGCCCUGAGUGAAAAGUCCAAACACAUUUAUCUACCAUUCGAAGACGCUUUAUUGUCUGUCCUCUGCACAUCUCAGUAGUCUCUUUUUACCACACUGUCUAUAUACUGCAUGAGCCAUUUAUAUGAAACUAUCUGACACUCCAAGGCAUCUUGUACUAUAUAUUCAACUAUGUAUCCCUAGUACCUAGCACAGUCCUGGCAUAUAGUUUGCUACUAAACUUUUACAGAAUGAAGGAAUUAUCUUGUAUCCAGGUUCCAAGUUUUAAGGUGAUUCUUCAGUAAAAAAAAGUAUUACAGUUCACAAAUAAUCUACUUCCCUUUUUACAAAUGGGAUCAAUUUUAAUCUUAUCUCCUAAUAACAUUACUUUCAUUUACUCUGAUCUAAAUAUACUGUCCUAAGAGAGCAAUAAGAAAGAGAGUUGAAGCUGGAGUUUGAAGAAUUGUACAUGGUCCUGUGAUACCCUACCUUGUUUUAACCUGAGUGACUCUCUCCUAGCGGAGAGAGAGCCGGACAGACUCCAUUUUAGUUUCUUCACGUGCAGCCCCCUUUACCUUCCACCCUUAAUUGCAUAACUAGUGUAAACUGACUCAAAGCAGGUCCAGGAAUGCACUUAGUGAUAAGAUAUUGAGGCAAGCUGCACCAGCUGCUCCUGGGUACGCACUCGGUGAAUGUCACGCAAAACCCCUGCAUUUCUCUCUUUGUGAUAGUUUAAGCCCCUGCACCUGGAACUGUUUAUUUGUUUUGUAACUGCUAUUGUAACCAAUUAAUAUUUUAACUAUUUGCCAGCUCUGCUUCUGUAAAACUUGUUUCAGCUAAACUCCCCCCUCCCCUAUUUAGACCACGGUAUAAAAACAAAACCAGCCCCUUCCUCGGGGCCAAGAGAAUUUUGAGCAUUACAUGCCUCUCGGUUACCGGCUAAUAAAGGACUCCUUAAUUUGUCUCAAAGUGUGGCAUUCCUCUAUAACUCGCUUGGUUACAACAGUCCACACUGUGGCCUGAGGUGCAUUGCCCACCUGAGCUUCAUCUGUUAUGUAUGUCAGGGAAUAUAAGCAGGGUGAGAGUGGCCUCAUCAGAGGACCCCAGAUCUCUGGCUUACCCAUCUGGCAAGUGCACCUCUGUGAGCAAAGACUUCAGAGCCAGGUGACAAGAAUGGCCCAAGCAGUCCACCAGGAAAACCUGGGCCCAGUGUACGUCAAUGCAGAGCAUCAAGCAUGGUGUAACAGGUGCACAGUUGCCUACUCCUGUUCAGAGAUGACUGCAUCCCACAUACCGUAAAAUGAGGAAAUGCAUAGAAGCAGAUGUAACUGAAGAAGACAGCAGAAGCAACAAGGAGGGACAACCAGGACCUAGGAGGGCACCAUGCCAGAGACGCCUGGACCCCAUGCUAGGCUCAGUGCCUGUUAUACUCUUGGGAGCCAGCACUUUCCCUCUCCAUCACAUGGCAUACUUGCCAUUAUUUGUUGUGUAAAAUAUUGUCCUUAGUUUUCACCUUUCCUAGGAGACACAGGCAGAGCCUGUGACACUACAGCUUCUGGCACACAGUAGGUAGGUGCAUCACAAACAUCUGCUGAGUUCACACACUCUUGCCUUCUCAAAACUUCUUGUCAAGUCUUCAGUGAAAAGGAAUUGCUGAUUGAGCAAGAAUUAAACUUCUAGAGACUCCUGGAUCCACUGAAGUUUGAGACAAGGUGAGAUUUGUUUACUGUCAUAUUCCUAGCUCAUAACAUAUUGUAGUCACUUAAAAAAGUUUGUUGAAUAAGUGAGUAAAUUGAUUCAUACGUCAUACUUAGCUAUAUAUUUUCUGAGUAGAAUUGAUAAAGUUAAUAGUUUAAGUCUAGUAUAAUUUUGCUUUACUCAUUCAAUGAACCUGACAAUUCAAAUAGGUGCCAGGCACACUGCUGCUGAAGAAAAAGAGGUAUAAGAUAUAAUUUCUGUCUACAAGAAAGCCACAGUCUAAAAAGUAGAAACAUAUGAACAAAUCGUAACAAUAAAUAGGCUAAAUUCAAAAUCAGAGGAGUUUGUUUCUAUUUUAAACAGCUCUAGUCAGGAAGUGUUAGAGAGUUCUAAACAGGAAAUAUUCCAACACAUCAUCUAAGCAUGAAGCAGGAGACACCCAUAAUUGAGUUUGCUGCCACCAACCCCAACAGCAAGAAUUCCAGUCCUGCUGCUGCAAAGUAAGUGUCACUCUGAUUUUAUUGCUGCUGUGUAACCCAGUUUUAGACUCUCUGGUUCUCACUUAAUGUUCUAAAAAAGUAUUAAAGAGAAAAUUUUAUUCUGGUGAUGAGCCCAUCCACUGCAGCCAUCUCAACAUCAUACCAAUUAUAAGCCUAUCAUUUAAAAAGAAAGCUGUUAGUUUAACUUAUUUAUCCAAAUAUCAGUAUUACAUAAACAUAUUUGUCAUCAGACUUUGGACUUAUGGGUUAAAUAGCAUAUAAAUAUGAUUAGAGCCUUAAAGUUUACACUUCUCUGGUUCGCUCAAAUUUUUUUCAAAAUAGCAUAUGCCUUUCUAAACAAUGGUUAGUAUAUUUUUCAAAAUGAACAUUAAAAUGUAUAUUUUCCAAAAACAAAAUACAGCUCCCAUUGGUAAAUGAUGCUAUUGAGACACAACAGACAACUUCUCUUGGGAACCAUUUAAUCAGUGCUCACUUUUGCACUCUUUCCAGAAAUGUCAAUGGUUUUGAAAUAUAGAAGUAUAUUAUACAAAUAAACUUAUACUUAUUCAGUAUUGUGCAAUAUUUAGUAUUUCUUCUAGCCAUCUCUUGCUGAAUAGUAAGCCAUUCCAAAACUUACGGAAUUAUUUAUUGUUUAAUAUUGUUUAUUGUUAUUAUUUGUUUAGUAAUUUUAAUAACGUUAUUUCUCAUGGUUUUGUGGGUUGAUGGGCACUACAAAAGUUCUCUUUUGGAGUCUUUCUUGCAGUUGCGGUUGGUUGGCUGCUGCUGAAGUCACCUGAAAGCUCAAUUAGGCUAAAGAGUCUAAACGGGUCACUUACAUGGCUGGCAGUGCAUAUUGGCUGCUGAGUGUGAUGCCUAUCUGACCUCUCCAUGUUACCUGGAGUGCUCACAACGUGGUAGUUUGUCCCAAGACACACAGGCAAAUACUACAAAGCUUCUUAGGGCCUAGCCUUGGAGGUCCUAGAAUACGACUUCUGCUGCAUCCUAUUGGAAAAGCAAGUCAUUGUGACCAGCACAGAUUCAAGAAAUGGGAGAUUCGACUCUACCUGUCAAUGUAAACAGCAGCAUGUGCAUGCAGGGAGGAAAGAAAUUGAGGGCAUCAUCUUGAAGACUAUCAUAUCACACCAUUAUUCCAACUAGUGAACAUUAUGUUUUAGAUGGGUAGUACUAGCUACUCAUCUGUCCCCCAGAAACCCAAGCUAAGCAUGGACAUAUUGAAGAGAAUGUCAACACCAUUAAAAAAACUCUAGAAAAAUCACAUGUGAUGACUGAGGUUAAUUCAGUCUGUCAACUACAUCAAUAUAAUUGCCUUCUUGUAACCCUAAGUAUGGUGAAGCAGAAUUGAAUUCUACAAAAGUCUUUCAUCUGUUUUCCUAUGGAAUAAUUAACAAACCCAAUAAAUGUAUAAAUAGCAUGAAGUCCGACUUAUUUUAGAUUUUUACCUCAUAAUUUCAAAGCUUAUAGAAAUCCAGAGAACUAAUCAUCAUAAUCCAUAAUGCCUGGACCAGAAGUCCUUGUUCUAAGAGUAUCUUGUGGCAUGCUAAAAAUGUAUUACUAACUAGGAAAUUUAAAACUUUUUUGUUAGUGGUUUUAAGAGAGCUGACUAGCUCAUCACCACAAUUCACACAGAUUAAGAAAGGAGGUUACUCUGUGGAGUGGAUUCAUAGUGAUCAGAAAAAAAAAAUCACAAAAGAGGAAAGGAGAUAGGGAAGGGGAAAGAUACUGUCAAUCUCUACAAUUAAAGUGAUUUUUCGAAUGGUUUGAUUUUGUAUUUGCAAAGGAAAGGCAGCUUAAUGUGAUAGAAUAAGAAUCCCACUUCUGUAUCUUUUUUUUUUUUUUUUUUUUUUUGAGACGGAGUCUCGCUCUGUCGCCCAGGCUGGAGUGCAGUGGUGCAAUCUUGGCUCACUGCAAGCUCUGCCUCCCGGGUAGAUGCCAUUCUCCUGCCUCAGCCUCCCGAGUAGCUGGGACUACAGGCGCCCACCACCACGCCCGGCUAAUUUUUUGUAUUUUUUGUAGAGACAGGGUUUCACCGUGUUAGCCAGGAUGGUCUCGAUCUCCUGACCCUGUGAUCCCCCCACCCUGGCCUCCCAAAGUGCUGGGAUUACAGGCGUGAGCCACUGUGCCUGGCUCGUCUUCUUUUGAGAAGUGUCUGCUUAUGUCCCUUGUCAAUGUUUUAAUGGGGUUGUUUUCCUAAUGUCCAACAUCACUAAUCAUCAGAGAAAUGCAAGUCAAUGAGAGAUACCAUCUCAUAUUAGUCAGAAUGGCUACUAUUAAAAAGUAAAAAAAUGACAAAUUCUGGUUAGACUUCAGAGAAAAUGAAAUGCUUAUACACUGUUGGUGAGAAUGUAAAUUAGUUCAGCCACUGUGAAAAGCAGUUUGGAGAUUUUUCAAAGAAUUUAAAACAGAAGUGCCAUUCAACCAGCAAUUCCAUUACUGAGUAUAUAUCCAAAAGAAAAUUAAGAAUUCCACAAAAAAGAAACCCCACAUGCACUUGUAUAUGAG
rnacentral:lncRNA from 10 species